rnacentral:tRNA from 1 species
CAGGGAGACAACAAAAUGUUUAAUAUUAUUAUUUUGUCACCUUAGGUCGAUCGGUACCUCACGUUUUUAAUUUAUUAAAAAUUUCAUUUCCUAAGUUUUUCUAGGUCACACCCAUUAUUUUUCCUGGGCCAUUAGCUCAGGUGGUUAGAGCGCACCCCUGAUAAGGGUGAGGUCCCUGGUUCAAGUCCAGGAUGGCCCAUAUCUCUAUGUUGGGGGUAUAGCUCAGUUGGUAGAGCGCCUGCUUUGCAAGCAGGAUGUCAGCGGUUCGAGUCCGCUUACCUCCACUGAUUACCACCUCUUCCAUAACCGGUAGAAAGGAAAUGUUUUGAGUUGUGAUCAAAUUCUGAAAGAAUCUAGCUUCCUAAUGAAAUCAUUAAGAUGCUGGACUCAUUGAAUUAAUUUCAUUGUUUUCAGAGAACCUUGACAACUGCAUAGAUUAUUUUUAAAGACAAUAAGCAUCUUUAAUGAUGCAGAUUUAUUAUUUGUGCGAAUGCAUUAAUAACAAUUCUAUUAAGCUGAUGCUUCAAUUUUUGAAGUUAUU